UACAGAGGUCCCAAGCGUUGUUCGGAUUCACUGGGCGUAAAGGGUGCGUAGGCGGUCGGGUAAGUCUGAUGUGAAAUCUCAGAGCUCAACUCUGAAACUGCAUUGGAUACUAUUCGGCUUGAGAUCUGGAGGGGGGACUGGAAUUCUCGGUGUAGCAGUGAAAUGCGUAGAUAUCGAGAGGAACACCAGUGGCGAAGGCGAGUCCCUGGACAGGUCCUGACGCUGAGGCACGAAAGCUAGGGGAGCAAACAGG
rnacentral:rRNA from 1 species